GAUGAACGCUGGCGGCGUGCCUAAUACAUGCAAGUCGAGCGAACAGACGAGGAGCUUGCUCCUCUGACGUUAGCGGCGGACGGGUGAGUAACACGUGGAUAACCUACCUAUAAGACUGGGAUAACUUCGGGAAACCGGAGCUCAUACCAGAUAAUAUAUUGAACCGCAUGGUUCAAUAGUGAAAGACGGUUUUGCUGUCACUGAUAGAUGGAUCCGCGCCGCAUUAGCUAGUUGGUAAGGUAACGGCUUACCAAGGCAACGAUGCGUAGCCGACCUGAGAGGGUGAUCGGCCACACUGGAACUGAGACACGGUCCAGACUCCUACGGGAGGCAGCAGUAGGGAAUCUUCCGCAAUGGGCGAAAGCCUGACGGAGCAACGCCGCGUGAGUGAUGAAGGUCUUCGGAUCGUAAAACUCUGUUAUGAGGGAAGAACAACUGUGUAAGUAACUAUGCACGUCUUGACGGUACCUAAUCAGAAAGCCACGGCUAACUACGUG
rnacentral:rRNA from 1 species